ACUAGGGUUAGGAUUUGGGUGCUGAUGCGGUUAUUUAUAUCCAUCCGCUUUUGAUCUAGACCGUUCAUCACGUUUGAUCUGAACCGUCCAUCGUGAUUCACUCUAGGCCGUCUGUGCGUGGGGCAACGAACCUCAACCGUUUGAUAGCACGCACGUAGAUCGCCCACGUGGCUCCCCCCGCGUGGCCUCCCGCGUCAGCGCCUCUGCCACUUGGCGCGUCCUGGUUGGUCGAAGUUGCU
rnacentral:lncRNA from 1 species